CCCCCAGCAGGCAGCAGCACCCUGGUGGCGUCAAGGAUUUUCUGCAGGGACCCCGCUGCAGCUCUUCCGGCCUGUCCCAGCUGUGUGACGGGCGAGAAGGCUCUUUUCUGAGGGUGGACGAAGUCUUCGAGAAGAUGGAGGUGAGAACCCCCGAGUCAGGCACAGCGUUUAAAUGUAGUAAGGGAGAUAAGACCCGUCGGGGCUGAAUAAGCAUCGGUUCCGGCGCUCAGCGGCUUCUCUGACCACCCUCAGGCCGUUCCACUCCUAGAAAAACGAAAAUAUACGCCCACAAAGAGACUUGGACACGAGGGCUCAAAAAAGCUUCAUUCAUAACCACCCCAAACUGGAAACAGGCCAAAUGUCCAUCCACAGGAGAGUGGAUACAGCAAACCGAGGGGCGUCCACCCAGCGGUCCACUCCUCCGCGUAAAAGGAACAAACUGCUGACACCCUCAGCAGCGUGGAUGGAUCUCAAGUCCUCAAGCGGAAAGAAGGCAGACACGGAAGGGUAUGCACCAUAUAAAUCCAGCCAGUUCCAGGCCUGGCGAGCCUAACGGGGACAGAAAUCAGAAACCGGUUGUCUCUAGGAGCGGGAGGGCACGAGUCCACUUCCCGGGGGGGCUGCAAACCUUCCGCAUCUUGACCUGAAUGAUGGCUACACAGGUGUCGCGAUCCGA